rnacentral:ncRNA from 1 species
AACCCUUGGAGAGAUCCAAUGUGCGCAAUUUGCACGAAGUGGACGCCGAAGGCGCAAAAGAGCGGUGAAUUUUUUAGCCGUUUUUGAAACGCUCAGGCAAAAGGACAGGGGCUGAA